rnacentral:rRNA from 1 species
UACGGGGGGGGCAAGCGUUGUUCGGAAUUACUGGGCGUAAAGGGCGCGUAGGCGGCCUGCUAAGUCGGACGUGAAAUCCCUCGGCUCAACCGGGGAACUGCGUCCGAUACUGGCGAGGCUUGAAUCCGGGAGAGGGAUGUGGAAUUCCAGGUGUAGCGGUGAAAUGCGCAGAUAUCAGGAGGAACACCGAUGGCGAAGGCAGGUCACUGGGCCGCAACUGACGCUGAGGAGCGAAAGCAUGGGGAGCGAACAGG